AACCCAGGCACCUCCCCGCGCUCAGUUCCGCCGUCCUCGACCGGUUCCUGCUCGCCCUCGCCCACACAAGUCCCUCGUCGCGCCGCCGUCGUCAAGUCCCUGCCGUGGCUCUACUUUCUGACGAGAACAGGGCGAGGUGCCCGCUCGCCUGUUCCUUCCCCGUUGACUUUUCAUCAAUGGAUUGCAGCGCCCAGGCCCAUCGCGCCAGCCUCCCUAGUUCACCGUCGAACUGGGCCCAAGGCCUCAAAGGCCCAUUGUGAGCAGCUCCCAAAUCCGCCCAGAUUCAGCCUGCCUAUAUUUUUUUCGUGCCCUGUGAAUUUGUCUAUUUAUCCAGGAGUUUGCAGUUUUACAGAAAAGCCCUCAUACAUCAUGCAUAUAAUAACUUAACAACCGUGCAUCGGUUUAAAAUGACUUAUAUAUGAAACAUGACUAGAAUUUCAUCUAGUUUCGUAAUAUGUCAUUUUCAUCCAUGUUUAAAAUGUUGUUUGUUUAAAUUUUCUUAAAUAACUUGCUAAAAUGAUUUAUUUCAUAACUAAAUAACCGUAGCUCCGAAUUUAACAAACUUUAUAUGUAAAUGGGGUAGAAUUUUGCAUAGUUUAACAUGGUGCACUCUUCUUGCAUGUUUAACAACUAUAAAAUUGUGUUUAGGGCAGAACAGUACCAUAAUCAAAAUAUGCACAUGAGGAGUUUCCGGACUUGUUGUUUGUUGUUCCGGCCUCAUUUAACCUCGCCUAGAUAGGUAGUUUUCAUUUGCUUCACCUCUUGCCAUGUUAAGCAACAUUUAAUAUUGUUGGGUACGUAAACAAGAUCGAACUAAAUAACUUGUUGUGGAGUUUCGUCACUAUGCAACUCGUUGCAUAUUGAGCUCCACUUACCAUGUAGUUUUGCUUGUGCACUUUGCCAUGCCAUGAAUCAUUAAACCGGACAUGCAUCAAACUUGGUUGUGCAUCAUGCGAUGUUUAUGUGGUGGUUGUUUACUAUGUUGUUUGCUUCUUUCCGGUGUUGCUUCUUCGGGUUGGUUCUGAUAACAUCGUGAUUGUGAGGACUCGUUCGUCUACGUCCGUUUGUCUUCUUCAUUGACUCGUUCUUCUUCCUUGCGGGAUUUCAGGCAAGAUGACCAUACCCUCGAAAUCACUUCUAUCUUUGCUUGCUAGUUGCUCGCUCUUUUGCUAUGCCUAUGUUGCGAUACCUACCGCUUGCUUAUCAUGCCUCCCAUAUUGUUGAACCAAGCCUCUAACCCACCUUGUCCUAGCAAACCGUUGUUUGGCUAUGUUACCGCUUUGCUCAUCCCCUCUUAUAGCAUUGUUAGUUGCAGGUGAAGAUUGAAGUUUGUUCCUUGUUGGAACAUGGACAUGUUGUUCCUUGUUGGAACAUGUUUACUUGUUGGGAUAUCACAAUAUAUCUUAUUUAAUUAAUGCAUCUAUAUACUUGGUAAAGGGUGGAAGGCUCGGCCUUAUGCCUGGUGUUUUGUUCCACUCUUGCCGCCCUAGUUUCCGUCAUAUCGGUGUUAUGUUCCCGGAUUUUGCGUUCCUUACGCGGUUGGGCUAUAAUGGGAACCCCUUGACAGUUCGCCUUGAAUAAAACUCUCCAGCAAUGCCCAACCUUGGUUUUACCAUUUUCCUCACCACCACCUACUUUUCCCUUGGGAGUCGCUCUCUCGAGGGUCAUCUUUAUUUUAACCCCCCCGCCCGGGCCAGUGCUCCUCUGAGUGUUGGUCCGAACUGAGCUGCCUGCGGGGCAACCUCGGGGAAACUUGAGGUUUGGUUUUACUCGUAGCUAGUCUCAUCUGAGUGUGCCUUGAGAACGAGAUAUGUGCAGCUCCUAUCGGGAUUUGUCGGCACAUUCGGGCAUUGUUGCUGGAUUUGUUUUAACUUGUCGAAGUUGUCUUGUAGAACCGGGAUACCGAGUCUGAUCGGAAUGUCUUGGGAGAAGGUAUAUCCUUCGUUGACCGUGAGAGCUUGUCAUGGGCUAAGUUGGGACUCCCCUGCAGAGAUUUGAACUUUCGAAAGCCGUGCCCGUGGUUAUGGGCAGAUGGGAAUUUGUUAAUGUCCGGUUGUAGAAAACCUGAAGUUGACCUUAAUUAAAACACAUCAACCGCGUGUGUAACCGUGAUGGUCUCUUUCCGGCGGAGUCCAGGAAGUGAACACGGUGUUGGAGUUAUGCUUGGCGUAGGUUGCUAUAGGAUCACUUUUUGAUCAUGGUUCUUCAUUCGUGCUUUGCCUUCUCUUCUCUCUCUCUUUUGCGAACAGGUUAGCCACCAUAUUUGCUAGUCGCUUGCUGCAGCUCCACCUCAUACAUUUACCUUACCCAUAAGCUUAAAUAGUCUUGAUCGCGAGGGUGCGAGAUUGCUGAGUCCCCGUGACUCACAGAUACUUCCAAAACUAGCUUGCAGGUGUCGUGGAACCAUGCAUAUGACGCAACUAAGCUCAAGGAGGAGCUCGAUGAAGAUCUUGUCCUUUAUGUUGUUCUGCUUCCAGUUGAUCAGUAGUGGAGCCCAGUUGGGGUCGAUCGGGGACCUUGUCGCAUUUGGGGUUCUUCUUUUAUUUUGGUUCCGUAGUCGGACCUUGAUUGUAUUUGGAUGUUGUAAUGCUUUAUUCAUGUAUUUGUGUGAAGUGACGAUUGUGAUCCAACUAUGUAUCUAUUUCCCUUAUGUAUUACAUGGGUUGUGUGAACAUUACCUCACUUGCAACAUUGCUUUUAAUGCGGUUAUGCCUCAAAGUCGUGCUUCGACACGUGGGAGAUAUAGCCGCAUCGAGGGCGUUACAAGUUGGUAUCAGAGCCUUCCCCGACCUUAGGAGCCCCCACUGCUUGAUCGAAUUAGCGGACGAGUUGAGUCUAGAAAUUUUUUUGAGUCAUCUAGGAAUUAUAUAUCGGAGAGUUUAGGAAUUCUUUUUACUCCCCAGUCCCUUCAUCACUCUGGUAAGGCAUCCUGACGUACAGUUUUGACUCUUCUCUUCUCAAAUUUCACUAAAUUUUUUUAGGAUCACGCGGGUAUCUUGGAAUCGUUCCGAUCGAUUUGUGACGAGAACAUUGUUCUGGGUGCCUCCUGUCAUUUAGGGGUUGUGGCAGUGUCCGGGGGAGUUGAGCUCCGAGGUGUUGUCGUCACAAUUUUAUCGUUGCAGUUCUGGAAUACCUGACUUUAGUUUCGCCGACAUUGAAAAUCUCUUUUAUGUAGUUGUUGGUGAGAUAACCUCGACGCCACCCAGUACUGGGGCGGGAGUUUGGGAGUAUUUCCAUAACUCGUAUAACGGAUGCUUUUCAAAGGUUGAGGUAAACGAUUUCUAAAGGUUUCUUGGUUAUGUGUUGAAGGAUGGAUGCAACUGGAUGUAGGAUUUGCUAGUUUUGGGUGAGAUAUUAUGCUUCCCCUGUAUCCCCAACACCUGAUUGCAUAACCGGAAAGGUUCGGGAGUUUCAUAGGUGGGAAUUCAAGUAGCUCGUAGGAUAUCUUUCCGACAGAUGUAUGAUAUGAAAUUGGGGUUCUACGUCUAGUUGUCCGCCUAUUCACGGUUGGUUUUACAGUGGUCUCGUUGUGUCUUAAAGAGUCCUUGGCUAUGCCGACUCGGGGACGCUUCGUAUGUCAUGUGCAUUGCCUUGUACAUGAUGGUGCUGUACGAUCGAGCCCGUGUAGGCCCCACCACGAAAACUUCAGACGAAAUCUCUAUCAUAUGUUUUUUCCGGCUUAUUUUGCAUGCCAAUCCUUUGUUUUGUUUUGAGUUGUGUUAUUCGAGUUGCUUCAGUGUCAAGUAUUGACUCCAUACCUUCUCUAAACGGUGUUCUCAUACUCCGAUGUGAAUACCAAUGCUCAUGAUAAUCGAGAUUGUCAUGUCAAUCCUUUUCAACCGACGUGUUUUCUCUUCAAGUGGAUUCGUCCAUUUUCAACAUCCGCAAGCUCGAGUAUCAGUUCUUCUCAACGGUGUUUGCUUCAUCCGUCUUCAAGUUGUCUUUGUUUUCCCGCCCUCCCACCCUUAUUUCUUCAAGGACUCAGAUUUCUUAAUCAAGUAUCUUUUACUCUUGUGAAGUUUCUCCAUCCUUUUCUCGUCAAUGUUCUUAUCCGGUGAUUCUCAUGAAGCUUCUAAUGGAGCUUCAAGCUCAUCAUUCUUCGUUCUUUUUCUUCUCCGGUGGUUUCAAUUCAAGUUUUUUUAGUGUUGAUCAUAUUACUUUUCUUGUUUCAAAUAUUUUAUCAUGCCGGUGCACCUCAUUACCAUCCACUUCUCGCUAUUCAAUUGUUCCGGAGUGCUCUAGAUAUCUCGGAGAUUCGUGUUUUCCACUCUGCAUCCGUUAAAGAUCUUUGGAGGUUGUUAUCUCAUUCUAGCCAUUUAAUUCAACCGGUGCAAUCUCAGUUUCUAGUAAUCGUUCUACGGUGUAUCUUUUGAGUGGGCCCUAAGCCACAGAUCUUUUUCCAAGAUCUUACCUAACUCUUCUUAUUUUCCCAGAGCUAUCCUCAAUUUUUUUUCAAAGUUUGACGUAAGAAUGAUUCAUCAUCAGUCAUAUGUUUUCUCCAAAUUCUUUCAAAUUCUUUUCAUCGUUGGCUCAACCUCUCCUCUUUUAAUCAUUCUGGAGUGUCUCAACAAUUUGGUGGUGUUUCUCAUCGUCAUUCUCAGAUUUUGAAGGCCGAAGAAGAGUUUCUUUUAAAUCUUGCCCCAUUCUCUGCCAUUCUCCCAUAAUUGUUUCGGUUGUGAGAAUUUCUUUUCACCCAUCCAGAGUAAUUCAGGAGUCUUUUCAGUUUGAUUAUCCGGAGCCCACCAUCUAAGAUUUAUUCAUUCCAGCUUUUAGCUCUCAUACUCUAAAUCAUACCGGUGCUUAAAUCAAGGAUGCUCUAAUCAGCUCGUAAUCUCUUCGUUCUCAUGGAUCUAAAUUCUCUCAAGCAACUUCGUUUAAUGGCUAACUCUUCCCGGUGUUUCUUCAUGUUUUAGUCGUUUUUUUAAUUCUUCCCGGUGUUUCUUUAUAUUUUUCAUUGUUCAUUUUCAAUUCUUACGGUGGUUCGUUCAGGAUUUCUCUUCCUUCUUUAUCAUAUCAGUUCAUUCGUUGUUUAGAUUCUACCGGUGGAUCAUCGAAGACCUUCUCAAAUUUAUAAUAUACCUCUCUUAAUUUUUUCUACGAGAAUAAGUAGUAUGCCAAAUCCGUUGCUUGUCAUCAAUCUAAAUUGGUGAAGGAUAAGUAUAAUGCAAUUCGUAUUCUUCUUUCAUCCAAGUGAUUAACUCCUUAUUUCGGAGGCUCAUCAAAUUCUCGGUUUCAUAUGUUUCAUCUUUUCUUUUACCGGAGUUCCAAGCCCUCUCAACUAUAUCGUCACGAAGAUCCAUCUAAUCAUUGCAAGGGUUCAACUUGUGUUUUCAACUUCUCCUUCAUUCCGUUUUGAUCAUCCUUUCGUUACCGGAGUUCUUCAUGGAGGUUCGACAUAAUGUUCCAUCAAGGAUUUAAUUCCUUCUCCAUGUUUUUCAUCGAGAUUCUCUUCUAAGAAGCUCAAGCUUUAUUCUUCUUGCAAUCUGGAGUGCAUUUGUUCUCUCUUAUCUUCUUGAGAUGGUAUUAUGUCAUUCUUGAUAAGUUGAGUUCAUGUUUCAUGAUUCACAGGUUGUUAAGAAUGGGAUAUUUUAAAUCCAUCAACCUCUUCGUUGGAGCUAUCUUGGGUUAUAAUUCACCUAAAGCUUUCCCUAAGGAUUGUUGCUAUUUACGGUGCUUAUAAAUGAUCCAAGUUCUCAUUUAUCCUCCCGGUGAAAUAAGUUUCUCGUCUCCUCGUUGACGUCAAUCCAAUCUUUUGUUUCGUUAGUGGCAGAAUUUCACCUCAUAAUUUGAGAUGUAUUCCAUAAGACCAUAUCAAGCUUAUCCUUUUCGUUGUUGAUUUUUCCAACAACUCCGUUCGAACCUUCUCCUAAAGAUGCUUUGGCAAGCUCAUUUUGGGGUAGAAGGUAUUGUUACUCCUCCAUUCAUUCCAUUCCAUCCUCUCUUUUCUUCCGGAGGUAUUGUGAUGUUUCUCAUUUCUCUUUUCAUCUCAAGUUACCAAGAUCAUGAACUUUUCAUGCUUAUCCUUUUAACCGUAGUGUUGUGCCCUUUGCUCAAGUUCUCUUCGCCUUAUCAAGUCUUGCAUCCCUUCUCAACCGAAGUGCUAUCCGAAUUGGUUCUUUCUUUUCCUUUGUCUUAACGAAGUGUUUUCAACUUCGUUCAUCUCCGUUGCAUUUUUUUCCUUAAAUUUGUUCAACAUCUAAAGGUUCUUUGGUUUCACUCGUUUGUCAAAGGAGCAACUUAGAUUUACCUCUUCUCUUUCUCUUCUGUUUUCCCUCCGGUGCCAUUCUAGAUCUCGGGAUGAGAUCCUCUCGUAGUGGUGGAGUGUUGUGGUGCCCCGAGACCGUUGUGUCAGGUGUCUUCCGGUGUUUCGUUGUUGUUGCCUAGUCAUUUGCUUGCGUGUCGCAUCUUGUCAUGUCAUCAUGUGCAUUGCAUCAUCAUGUUUUCGAAACUUCCAUGCGUCCCGGCCUCCUCGUUCUCUCUAUUGUCCGUUCUGAGCCCAGACACACUUGCACGCUCCCGCGGCAUGUCCGAAAUAUUAUUUUAUAAGUGGCCGGAAAAUGUUCUCGGAAUGGGUUGAAAGUUGGCGUGCGGUCUUAUUAUAGUGUAGAUAGACCGCCUGUCAAGUUUCAUCGCGUUAGGAGUCCGUUUGAUGCCCCAACGAUUAACUAUAGCGGCAUUAUAGCCGGUCUAACGUCGGACGUUUUCGGUCUCCGGAAACAGAUGCCGGGCCCUCCCUCUCUCUUCUCCCCCUCGCAGUCUCGCCACAGCCCACCUAGUCCAUCCUCCUUCCCCUCUUCGCUUCCGGAGUUGUCCGAUGCGACCGCACGGUCCGAAACCCUCUCUGCUCAGUGCAUCAAACACCCCUCGCGCGCGCGUCAAAAAAGCUGUCCCGGACCCGACCCGGAUUGUCGCCACCGUUGUGUCCGGAUCAUCCUCAAACAUCUACAAAACAUCACCUUUUCCUUGUUAGGACUUCCUAACCUAUAUUUUCUCAGCCGUCUGAUAGAUCGAAGGGCUUCCAUUAGUCUGCAUAUAGCCCACUCACUAUAUAACCAGACACAAACCCUAAUUUUUAGGAGGUGUCCCAUCCAUCCCCCAAGCCGCCGCCACUCCUCUUGUCUCUUCCUCCUCAGGUUCAUCGCCGAUCCAAAUCCCCUCCUCGCUUUCACCACCACACCAACCCGAGCCAGUCACCUCUCCUUCCACUUAGCCUCUCCAUCGGGAUCCAUCCCGUUCAACCAACGAGCCCCCUCCUCCUGCUUUGUUCCCCGAAGGGAUCGAGAGAGUUGCCGCCGCCUUGUCACCUCCCGUGCCUCUCGACCCCCGCCUCCUCUGCACGCAUCUCGCCGGAGCAAGCUCACCCCGAUCCAGUCGCUGCCGGUGAACAGUGGCAGAAACCGAGGCCCGCUGCGUUUCCCCGCUCUUUCCUUCUUGUCCACCCCCUUCCCCUGUCUCUCCCUCACAUCUCUCUCUCUCUGCAGGAGACUGCCGUCGCGCCCUCUGCCAUGGAGCUCGCCUCCAUCGUCAGCACCGCACGAGGGCCCCGCCGUCCCCGACCUCCCCGCGGCCCACCUCACCUCGUCAUCCUUCUCUCCUCGCGACCGCGAGCCUGUCGUCGGACGCGCCUCCUCUGGUUCCCGAGGCCGAGUCACCCCGUGCCCGCAACCCCGCGUCGACCCCCUGCCUCAUCUGCGUCGUCGGAGCCCCGAGGAGUUUGCACCGUCCAUUCCCGCGUCCCGCUCGUCCUGGAGUUCCCUGCUUCACCAAGACCACCGCCGCCGCUUCGCUCGAGCGACUGCAGCCUCGGGAGGAGCCCGAGAGCCUCCUCCUGCUCGACCCUGCUGCCUCGCUGCAGACCUCUUCCAGUGUGGACCUCGCCGGAGCUCCGCAGGUCGCCAUGCGCCCCUGCUCCUCCUUCCCUUUCCCUCUCUUCCUCCCUGACUUUUUCUCAUGCCCGUGUCCUGUAGGAGCUCAUCGCGCGCCGACCGUUCCGAGAUCCAAUCCGCGACUCCCGUUGCCGGAAUUGAACCCAGGCACCUCCCCGCGCUCAGUUCCGCCGUCCUCGACCGGUUCCUGCUUGCCCUCGCCCGCACAAGUCCCUCGUCGCGCCGCCUUCGUCAAGUCCCUGCCGUGGCUCUGCUUUCUGACAAGAACAGGGCGAGGUGCCCGCUUGCCCGCUCGCCUGUUCCUUCCCCGUUGACUUUUCAUCGAUGGAUUGCAACGCCCUGGCCCAGCGCGCCAGCCUCCCUGGUUCACCGUCGAACUGGGCCCAAGGCCUCGAAGGCCCAUUGUGAGCAGCUCCCAAAUCCGCCCAGAUUCAGCCUGCCUAUGUUUUUUUCAUGCCCUGUGAAUUUGUCUAUUUAUCCAGGAGUUUGCAGUUUUACAGAAAAGCCCUCAUACAUCAUGCAUAUAAUAACUUAACAACCGUGCAUCGGUUUAAAAUGAUUUAUAUAUGAAACAUGACUAGAAUUUCAUCUAGUUUCGUAAUAUGUCAUUUUGAUCCAUGUUUAAAAUGUUUAAAAUGCUGUUUGUUUAAAUUUGCUUAAAUAACUUGCUAAAAUGAUUUAUUUCAUAACUAAAUAACCGUAGCUCCGAAUUUAACAAACUUUAUAUGUAAAUGGGGUAGAAUUUUGCAUAGUUUAACAUGGUGCACUCUUCUUGCAUGUUUAACAACUAUAAAAUUGUGUUUAGGGCAGAACAGUACCAUAACCAAAAUAUGCACAUGCGGAGUUUCCGGACUUGUUGUUUGUUGUUCCGGCCUCAUUUAACCUUGCCUAGAUAGGUAGUUUUCAUUUGCUUCACCUCUUGCCAUGUUAAUCAACAUUUAAUAUUGUUGGGUACAUAAACGAGAUCGAACUAAAUAACUUGUUGUGGAGUUUCGUCACUAUGCAACUCGUUGCAUAUUGAGCUCCACUUACCAUGUAGUUUUGCUUGUGCACUUUGCCAUGCCAUGAAUCAUUAAACCGGACAUGCAUCAAACUUGGUUGUGCAUCAUGCCAUGUUUAUGUGGUGGUUGUUUACUAUGUUGUUUGCUUCUUUCCGGUGUUGCUUCUUCGGGUUGGUUCUGAUAACAUCGUGAUUGUGAGGACUCGUUCGUCUACGUCCGUUUGUCUUCUUCAUGGACUCGUUCUUCUUCCUUGCAGGAUUUCAGGCAAGAUGACCAUACCCUCAAAAUCCCUUCUAUCUUUGCUUGCUAGUUGCUCGCUCUUUUGCUAUGCCUAUGUUGCGAUACCUACCGCUUGCUUAUCAUGCCUCCCAUAUUGUUGAACCAAGCCUCUAACCCACCUUGUCCUAGCAAACCGUUGUUUGGCUAUGUUACCGCUUUGCUCAUCCCCUCUUAUAGCAUUGUUAGUUGCAGGUGAAGAUUGAAGUUUGUUCC
rnacentral:lncRNA from 1 species